GUGUGCGCGUGUGUGUGUCUGUGUCUGUGUCUGUGUGUGUGUGUGUGUGUGUGUGUGUGUGUGUGUAACAGUGUCCUUAAAUAAGGACCAGAGGUGUUGUUUAUUCCGCCCCCAUAGUCCUCCAUUGAAAAUACCUUUUCAAAACAGUCAGCUGCAGUUCUCACCAUAAUAAUAAAUCACCCAUCUAUGCUAAUUGCAUCCACAUUUCUGGAGGAGAGUUUGCCAUUAUCAAAGAGUAUUGGAUUUUUCAAACAACACAGCUGGGUCUUUUCGGUUGACUUCCAUGUAGCAUUCAGCAAUAUCGAGUGACACUGGCAUUUACAAAAAGUGCUCAAACCGUAAAGGAAGCAUAGAAGAGCUGUGCAUCUCCGGGCCAGGCCGGCGCUGGUGGCAUUAUCCUAAUUAUACAUGAUGAUAGAAAUGCGGAUUAGUCAAUAACUUCCAGGCAAAAGAGAACCACUGGUGACAUUCUACUGAAUAUCCUGCUUGAUAUUCCAGCCCCAUGCAGGGUUUCUAUUUCCACCCACUGAGGAGCUAGCUUGGCUUGGCAAGCGUUCACAGAGAAUUCAGAAACCUGUAACUUUUCUUUUUCUUCUGUCAUUAGCACCGUCCUACACAGUUACAUUAACUGAGAGGACGCUUUGUCAUUAUAUGUAGAACUCUAACAACUAGUCACUAUUCUUUCCAUUAGUCAGGAUUAAAACAAAAAUCUAGCACAGACAUUCACAUAUUCAGACAGAUUUGCAGUUGGGGGGUAAAAUCAAGCAAAUGAUAAUACAAAAUUGAAUUCUUUCCAUCAAAAUGUUUUCUAGCAAUAAAAACCUCAAUGUGUGAAAGAGCAGAGGGCAUGAGUUAACAUUGAGGGCAUAUGGUGUAUGGCUUUACCAAUGAGCUAGGUUCAGCAGCAGACAUAAGGUAGUAUGGGAGUUAUACACAUAUACUGAGCACCUCAAAGCAUGGUAAUACCCUAGCUUGGCUUGAGUGAAGAUUAGCAUGGUUGCUGCUGCAGCCGUGUACUCACGGCCUGACUUUGUUGUUGAAGUGCCGUCGUACAAGUAGGGCCACGGUGGUGAGGACCAUCAUAGUGGUGCACAUGGUCUUCGGUCCUCCCCCGCCGGCGAUCCAGGCUGUCGGCGAGCUUCACCACCAAAGGUCCAUGGCUCCCGCUGUGCUGGAGCUUCGCUAGCCAAGUUAGCGUGUGGCUAUUCCUAUCACUGCUCUCUGCUGCUACCGCCUGUUCACGUGAGCCCAGAGGCUUAGAUUAUCUCAGAUUAAGGUGGAUGACUGUGAGGUGGUGGUGGUGGUGGUGAUGGUAGUGGAUGUGAAGGGUGGGGUGAGUCUCCUUAUCAACAACACGUAACACAGCACAUGCUAAUCCUGCCUGGUGCGUGAAGGUAGUCUGACAUCAUUUCCAGUUAUUUUUGUCUUAUAGGUGAAACACUAUUCUGAGCUUUGCCUUUAACUCAUUAUUUACAGACUCCAUUUAUCGAAAACCAAGCUAAAGUUUUUCAGUUAUUGCAUCAAGAUGGUGUGAACAUAUGCUAUGUUACCAUAGGGGCAUUUGUUUCAGUUAUCCAGGUAUUUGCAUAGAAAUUUCUAGUACCUCUUUCUUGUCAAAUUACAAUGCGGGGCUGCAAAGCAUGAAGGGCCAUCGCUGGCAUUCAGUGCAUAUUUGUCUUUGUGUUUCACCGCGGCAUGGGAUUGUCACCCGUCUUCCAUCUCAUUAGUGUGGCCAAGACGGCCAUUUCUCUGCAGCAAGAAGUCAUUUUGGUUGGUGGAGAGGAUGGGGGGGGUGGUGUUGGUGUUGGUGUAGUUGGCCGUUGGGGAACCAUUACCUCCCUUAUUAGACUGAAAUGACGGAGGGAGACGGAGGACAGCGGAACCAGAGGCUGGCCCUGUGACCCUCACCUCACGCCAGAUGCCAACCCUGCUGCAUGGAGCCGCUGGAGCUCCACAGAGACUCCUCAGUUCAGCCGAGGGUUGGUUUUUACCGAGCCUGAUAUAGGUAUAUGAUAUAUAUACUGUAUACAUAUGGUAUAUGAUGUAUAUAUAACAGCUAGAGGAGGCAGAUAGCUCCACCUUUGAGGAGUUUGGUGUGGGAUAUGUCUGGAUGUCACUAAAAGUCACAUACAUAAUUCAGAUUCGAAUAUGUGGAAGGGGUAGUGUCGUAUUAAAACCCAAUGGUAGCAUUUUUGGGUGUGCAAAUGUGUUUAUGCUCGUGGAUGUUUCACGUGUUGUGCCCUAACAUAACCUUGGCAAGCUGCAGGUGAGGACUUAAAGUUUGGUCAGAGUGGUUGGCUUUUGGACCCUGUCAUAUGCAGCGAAAGAGUGUGUGUUGUUUAUGUGUGUGUGUGUGUGUGUGUGUGUGUGUGUGUGUGUGUGUGUGUGUGUGUGUGUGUGUGUGUGUGUAUUUCGUCCCCGUGGCAUGUAAGGACAUGUAUUGACAUGAAACUGAAAACAAUGUUUGUAUGAGGGCGUACAUAGAUACAAACUCACUCACUUUGCACUACAGACAACAUCGGGGAGGUUGGAGAGUUAACACACACACACUAUGCUUCGGUCACACUGAGCACGUGUGUCCCCAGAAGCAGAGGGUCUAGGGGCAGCAACAGCAGAACACAGUUAGAAACUCUAAUUAGAUGAUUUAGCCAUUAUGCUCACUUUGCACUCUUUCCCUUUUACCCCCCCACCCCGCCCCCCC
ensembl:lncRNA